GACGAACUCUGGCGGCGUGCUUAACACAUGCAAGUCGAGCGGAGCGGCGAACGGGUGAGUAACGCGUGAGUACCUGCCCCCCUCUCUGGGAUAACAGUUGGAAACGGCUGCUAAUACCGGAUAGUGGGGGAUGACUCGCGUCCUAUCGGCGUGUUGGUGGGGUAGUGGCCUACCAAGGCGACGACGGGUAGCCGGCCUGAGAUGGCGACCGGCCACAUUGGUUGGGGUUACGGCCGAAACUCCUACGGGAGGCAGAAGGGGUGAAUAUUGAACAAUGGGGGAAACCUUGAUGCAGAAACGCCGCGUGCUGGAGGACGGCAUUCGGGUUGUAAACCGCUUUCAGCCAUAACGCGGGAGUGGCAGAAGAAGCACCGGCUAACAACGUGCCAGCAGCCGCGGUAAUAC
rnacentral:rRNA from 1 species